AGCUCCAAUAGCGUAUAUUAAAGUUGUUGCAGUUAAAAAGCUCGUAGUUGGAUCUCGGGUCCAGGCUUGUGGUCCGGCGCUGGCCGGUUACUACUCGUCCUGACCUACCUCCCGGUUUGCCCUUGGUGCUCUUGACUGAGUGUCUCGGGUGGCCGGAACGUUUACUUUGAAAAAAUUAGAGUGCUCAAAGCAGGCUUUUACGCCUGAAUAUUCGUGCAUGGAAUAAUAGAAUAGGAAGUCGUUUCUAUUUUGUUGGUUUUCGGAAAUCGACUUAAUGAUUAAUAGGGACAGUCGGGGGCAUUUGUAUUCAAACGACAGAGGUGAAAUUCUUGGACCGUUUGAAGACAAACUACUGCGAAAGCAUUUGCCAAGAAUGUUU
rnacentral:rRNA from 1 species